GAUGAACGCUGGCGGCGUGCCUAAUACAUGCAAGUCGAGCGAACAGACGAGGAGCUUGCUCCUCUGACGUUAGCGGCGGACGGGUGAGUAACACGUGGAUAACCUACCUAUAAGACUGGGAUAACUUCGGGAAACCGGAGCUAAUACCGGAUAACAUGUUGAACCGCAUGGUUCAACAGUGAAAGACGGUUUUGCUGUCACUUAUAGAUGGAUCCGCGCCGCAUUAGCUAGUUGGUAAGGUAACGGCUUACCAAGGCAACGAUGCGUAGCAGACCUGAGAGGGUGAUCGGCCACACUGGAACUGAGACACGGUCCAGACUCCUACGGGAGGCAGCAGUAGGGAAUCUUCCGCAAUGGGCGAAAGCCUGACGGAGCAACGCCGCGUGAGUGAAGAAGGUCUUCGGAUCGUAAAACUCUGUUAUUAGGGAAGAACAAAUGUGUAAGUAACUAUGCACGUCUUGACGGUACCUAAUCAGAAAGCCACGGCUAACUACGUG
rnacentral:rRNA from 1 species